CGUGAUAUACCCUUUAGUUUCGGGCUUUUGUGGAAUUAUCGUUUAGUUCAGAAGCUCGACUCUGAAGGUACAUUACGG